AUCCUUUUGUGGUUCAUAAGCACGAUGAAUGGGAGUUCACGUGCUCUUGUGAGAUGUGCCUCCCUCCAACCUUGUUAUGACAUCAGCACAUUACCCAUCUGACA
rnacentral:snoRNA from 1 species